rnacentral:lncRNA from 1 species
ACAACGAUGACAACGAGGACAAGGACGAAAACUAUGUCGAUGACGACGACGAGUAUGAAGACGACGAUGACAACCACCACAACAACAAUAGACAACAACAACAANNACAACAACAAUAACAACGAGAACGACGAUGACAACGAGGACAAGGACGACAACUAUGUCGAUGACGACGACGAGUAUGAAGACGACGAUGACAACCACCACCACCAUCAAACAACAAC